rnacentral:rRNA from 1 species
ACAUGCCUACAUCAUAGCAUUAAUGCACUGGAUCCCAUUAGAACUCUGCAGUUAAGCGCGAUCAAGCUAGAGUAGUUACUAGGAUGGGUGACUGCCCAGGAAGUCCUAGUGUUUUACAUGCC